CUGGUCCCAGUUCCGGCCCCAGACUGGUCCCAGUUCCAGUCCCAAACUGGUCCCAGUUCCCUCCCAGUCCCUCCCAGUCCCUCCCAGUCCCUCCCAGUUUGUCCCAGUCCCUCCCAGUUCCCUCCCAGUUUGUCCCAGUCCCUCCCAGUCCCUCCCAGUUUGUCCCAGUCCCUCCCAGUCCCUCCCAGUUUGUCCCAGUCCCUCCCAGUACAAGCACACCUCCCGGGUGUCCGUCUGUGCCUUUAUUCCACCCAAAGUCCCGGAUUUCCCCCCAAAAUCCCAAUAAUUUCGGGAAUCCGGGGGGAUUUUGGAAGGAUCUCGUGCGGAUUUUUGGGAAUUUUGGGGGGAAUUCCGAGGAGGAUUUUGAGGGGGAUUUUUGGGAAUUUCGAGGGGAAUUUUGGAAGGAUUUCGUGCGGAUUUUUGGGAAUUUUGGAAGGAUCUGGUGCAGAUUUUUGGGAAUUCCGAGGAGGAUUUUGGGAGGAUUUCGAGGAAGAUUUUGGAAGGAUUCUGUGUGGAUUUUUGGGAAUUUUGGGGGGAUUUUUGGGAAUUCCAAGGAGGAUUUUGGGAUGAUUUCGAGGAUGAUUUCGGGAGGAUUUUGUGUGGAUUUUUGGGAGUUUUGGGGGGAUUUUUGGGAGGAUUUUUGGGGAUCCCAAGGAGGAUUUUGGGAGGAUUCCGAGGAGGAUUUUGGAAGGAUUCUGUGUGGAUUUUUGGGAUUUUUGUGUGGAUUUUUGGGAGGAUUUUUUGGGAAUUCCGAGGAGGAUUUCGAGGAGAAUGUCGGGAGCAUUUUGAGGGGAUUUUUGGGGAAUUUUUGGGGGGAUUUUUGGGAGGAUUUUUUGGGAAUUCCGAGGAGGAUUUGGAGGAGGAUUUUGGGAGCAUUUCGAGGGGAUUUUUGGGGGGAUUUUUGGGAGGAUUUUUGGGAAUUCCGAGAAGGAUUUCGAGGAGGAUUUCGGGAGGAUUUUGUGGGGAUUUUUUGGGAAUUUUGGGGGAUUUUGGGAAGGCUCAGCCCUCCCCCCCCGGGAACAGGUGGGACCCCAGCAGGCUGGAAAUGGGGGGGGGGUCCCCGGCCGGGGGCGGCUCGGCCAGGAGCAGCUCCGGGCCCGGGCCCAGCGGGAAUUCCGGGAAUUCCGGGAAUUUCGGGAACUCCGGGAAUUUGGGGAACUCCGGGAACUCCGGGAAUUCCGGGAAUUUGGGGAAUUCCGCCCGGGCGGCGCAGGGCCCGAAGGGUGCGAAGAGUUGGGGAAGGGGAUCCAGCGGCUCCGGCUCCGCGGGGAGGGCGGCGUCUGCAGGAGUGGGAAAAUGGGAAUUGGGGAAAAAUGGGAAUUUUGGGGGGAAAUGGGAGUUUGGGGGAAAUGGGAAUGUGG
rnacentral:lncRNA from 1 species